rnacentral:rRNA from 1 species
AUACGGAGGAUGCAAGCGUUAUCCGGAUUUAUUGGGUUUAAAGGGUGCGUAGGCGGAGGAGUAAGUCAGGGGUGAAAUGCCGCAGCUCAACUGCGGAACUGCCUUUGAUACUGCUUUUCUGGAGUCCGGAUGCCGUGGGAGGAAUGGGCAGUGUAGCGGUGAAAUGCAUAGAUAUUGCCCAGAACACCGAUUGCGAAGGCAUCUCACGAAUCCGGGACUGACGCUGAGGCACGAAAGCGUGGGGAUCAAACAGGAUUAGAUACCCUGGUAGUCCACGCAGUAAACGAUGAUAACUAACCGUCGGCGAUAGACAGUCGGUGGCCAAGCGAAAGCGAUAAGUUAUCCACCUGGGGAGUACGUUCGCAAGAAUGAAACUCAAAGGAAUUGACGGGG